rnacentral:rRNA from 1 species
GAGUUUGAUCCUGGCUCAGGAUGAACGCUAGCGGCAGGCCUAACACAUGCAAGUCGAGGGGUAACAGGGAAAGCUUGCUUUCCCGCUGACGACCGGCGAACGGGUGCGUAACACGUAUGCAACCUACCUUCCACUGGGGUAUAGCCCAGAGAAAUUUGGAUUAAUCCCCCAUAGAACCAAGAGUCGCAUGGCUCAAUGGUUAAAGGAUUCCGGUGGAAGAUGGGCAUGCGUCCCAUUAGUUAGUAGGUGAGGUAACGGCUCACCUAGACAAUGAUGGGUAGGGGGUCUGAGAGGAUGAUCCCCCACACUGGUACUGAGACACGGACCAGACUCCUACGGGAGGCAGCAGUGAGGAAUAUUGCGCAAUGGACGAAAGUCUGACGCAGCCAUGCCGCGUGAAGGAUGACUGCCCUAUGGGUUGUAAACUUCUUUUAUAUACCAAGAAACCUCGGGACGUGUCCCGGGCUGACGGUAGUAUAUGAAUAAGCACCGGCUAACUCCGUGCCAGCAGCCGCGGUAAUACGGAGGGUGCAAGCGUUAUCCGGAUUUAUUGGGUUUAAAGGGUCCGUAGGUGGACCAUUAAGUCAGAAGUGAAAUCCCGCGGCUCAACCGCGGAACUGCUUUUGAAACUGAUGGUCUUGAGUGUGCUCGAAGUUGGCGGAAUAUGACAUGUAGCGGUGAAAUGCAUAGAUAUGACAUGGAACACCAAUUGCGAAGGCAGCUCACUAAACUAUUACUGACGCUCAUGAACGAAAGCGUGGGGAGCGAACAGGAUUAGAUACCCUGGUAGUCCACGCCGUAAACGAUGAUCACUAGAUGUUGGCGAUACACUGUCAGUGUUUUAGAGAAAUCAAUAAGUGAUCCACCUGGGGAGUACGUUCGCAAGAAUGAAACUCAAAGGAAUUGACGGGGGCCCGUACAAGCGGUGGAGCAUGUGGUUUAAUUCGAUGAUACGCGAGGAACCUUACCAAGGCUUAAAUGUAAAGCGAUCGGUUGAGAAAUCAGCCUUUCUUCGGACGAUUUACAAGGUGCUGCAUGGUUGUCGUCAGCUCGUGCCGUGAGGUGUCGGGUUAAGUCCCAUAACGAGCGCAACCCCUAUUUCUAGUUGCCAGCGAGUAAUGUCGGGAACUCUAGAAAGACUGCCUGUGCAAACAGAGAGGAAGGUGGGGAUGACGUCAAAUCAUCACGGCCCUUAUGUCUUGGGCUACACACGUGCUACAAUGGUUAUUACAAUGGGAAGCCAUCUGGUGACAGAGAGCAAAUCCAUAAAGGUAAUCUCAGUUCGGAUCGGAGUCUGCAACUCGACUCUGUGAAGUUGGAGUCGCUAGUAAUCGUAUAUCAGCAAUGAUACGGUGAAUACGUUCCCGGGCCUUGUACACACCGCCCGUCAAGCCAUGGAAGUUUGUGGUGCCUGAAGUCAGUAACCGCAAGGAUCUGCCUAGGGUAAAACAAAUGACUAGGGCUAAGUCGUAACAAGGUAACC